GACGAACGCUGGCGGCGUGCUUAACACAUGCAAGUCGAACGGAAAGGCCCUGCUUUUGUGGGGUGCUCGAGUGGCGAACGGGUGAGUAACACGUGAGUAACCUGCCCUUGACUUUGGGAUAUCUUCAGGAAACUGGGGCUAAUACCGGAUAGGAGCUCCUGCUGCAUGGUGGGGGUUGGAAAGUUUCGGCGGUUGGGGAUGGACUCGCGGCUUAUCAGCUUGUUGGUGGGGUAGUGGCUUACCAAGGCUUUGACGGGUAGCCGGCCUGAGAGGGUGACCGGCCACAUUGGGACUGAGAUACGGCCCAGACUCGUACGGGAGGCAGCAGUGGGGAAUAUUGCACAAUGGGCGGAAGCCUGAUGCGGCAACGUCGCGUGCGGGAUGACGGCCUUCGGGUUGUAAACCGCUUUCGCCUGUGACGAAGCGUGAGUGACGGUAAUGGGUAAAGAAGCACCGGCUAACUACGUG
rnacentral:rRNA from 1 species